rnacentral:rRNA from 1 species
GGGUUGUGAGGUUAAGCGACUAAGCGUACACGGUGGAUGCCCUGGCAGUCAGAGGCGAUGAAGGACGUGCUAAUCUGCGAAAAGCGUCGGUAAGGUGAUAUGAACCGUUACAGCCGGCGAUGUCCGAAUGGGGAAACCCAGUGCAAUUCGUUGCACUAUCGUUAACUGAAUACAUAGGUUAACGAGGCGAACCGGGGGAACUGAAACAUCUAAGUACCCCGAGGAAAAGAAAUCAACCGAGAUUCCCCCAGUAGCGGCGAGCGAACGGGGAGCAGCCCAGAGUCUGAAUCAGCUUGUGUGUUAGUGGAACGGUCUGGAAAGUCCGACGGUACAGGGUGAUAGUCCCGUACACCAAAAUGCACAGGUUGUGAACUCGAAGAGUAGGGCGGGACACGUGGUAUCCUGUCUGAAUAUGGGGGGACCAUCCUCCAAGGCUAAAUACUCCUGACUGACCGAUAGUGAACCAGUACCGUGAGGGAAAGGCGAAAAGAACCCCGGCGAGGGGAGUGAAAAAGAACCUGAAACCGUGUACGUACAAGCAGUGGGAGCACCUUCGGGUGUGACUGCGUACCUUUUGUAUAAUGGGUCAGCGACUUAUAUUCUGUAGCAAGGUUAACCGUAUAGGGGAGCCGCAGGGAAACCGAGUCUUAACUGGGCGUUAAGUUGCAGGGUAUAGACCCGAAACCCGGUGAUCUAGCCAUGGGCAGGUUGAAGGUUGGGUAACACUAACUGGAGGACCGAACCGACUAAUGUUGAAAAAUUAGCGGAUGACUUGUGGCUGGGGGUGAAAGGCCAAUCAAACCGGGAGAUAGCUGGUUCUCCCCGAAAGCUAUUUAGGUAGCGCCUCGUGAACUCAUCUUCGGGGGUAGAGCACUGUUUCGGCUAGGGGGUCAUCCCGACUUACCAACCCGAUGCAAACUACGAAUACCGAAGAAUGUUAUCACGGGAGACACACGGCGGGUGCUAACGUCCGUCGUGAAGAGGGAAACAACCCAGACCGCCAGCUAAGGUCCCAAAGUCAUGGUUAAGUGGGAAACGAUGUGGGAAGGCACAGACAGCCAGGAUGUUGGCUUAGAAGCAGCCAUCAUUUAAAGAAAGCGUAAUAGCUCACUGGUCGAGUCGGCCUGCGCGGAAGAUGUAACGGGGCUAAACCAUGCACCGAAGCUGCGGCAGCGACACUAUGUGUUGUUGGGUAGGGGAGCGUUCUGUAAGCCUGCGAAGGUGACCUGUGAGGGUUGCUGGAGGUAUCAGAAGUGCGAAUGCUGACAUAAGUAACGAUAAAGCGGGUGAAAAGCCCGCUCGCCGGAAGACCAAGGGUUCCUGUCCAACGUUAAUCGGGGCAGGGUGAGUCGACCCCUAAGGCGAGGCCGAAAGGCGUAGUCGAUGGGAAACAGGUUAAUAUUCCUGUACUUGGUGUUACUGCGAAGGGGGGACGGAGAAGGCUAUGUUAGCCGGGCGACGGUUGUCCCGGUUUAAGCAUGUAGGCUGGUUAUCCAGGCAAAUCCGGAUAAUCAAGGCUGAGGUGUGAUGACGAGGCACUACGGUGCUGAAGUAACAAAUGCCCUGCUUCCAGGAAAAGCCUCUAAGCAUCAGGUAACAUCAAAUCGUACCCCAAACCGACACAGGUGGUCAGGUAGAGAAUACCAAGGCGCUUGAGAGAACUCGGGUGAAGGAACUAGGCAAAAUGGUGCCGUAACUUCGGGAGAAGGCACGCUGGUGUGUAGGUGAAGUCCCUGCGGAUGGAGCUGAGACCAGUCGAAGAUACCAGCUGGCUGCAACUGUUUAUUAAAAACACAGCACUGUGCAAACACGAAAGUGGACGUAUACGGUGUGACGCCUGCCCGGUGCCGGAAGGUUAAUUGAUGGGGUUAUCCGUAAGGAGAAGCUCUUGAUCGAAGCCCCGGUAAACGGCGGCCGUAACUAUAACGGUCCUAAGGUAGCGAAAUUCCUUGUCGGGUAAGUUCCGACCUGCACGAAUGGCGUAAUGAUGGCCAGGCUGUCUCCACCCGAGACUCAGUGAAAUUGAACUCGCUGUGAAGAUGCAGUGUACCCGCGGCAAGACGGAAAGACCCCGUGAACCUUUACUAUAGCUUGACACUGAACAUUGAGCCUUGAUGUGUAGGAUAGGUGGGAGGCUUUGAAGCGUGGACGCCAGUCUGCGUGGAGCCAACCUUGAAAUACCACCCUUUAAUGUUUGAUGUUCUAACGUUGGCCCCUGACCGGGGUUGCGGACAGUGUCUGGUGGGUAGUUUGACUGGGGCGGUCUCCUCCCAAAGCGUAACGGAGGAGCACGAAGGUUAGCUAAUCCUGGUCGGACAUCAGGAGGUUAGUGCAAUGGCAUAAGCUAGCUUGACUGCGAGCGUGACGGCGCGAGCAGGUGCGAAAGCAGGUCAUAGUGAUCCGGUGGUUCUGAAUGGAAGGGCCAUCGCUCAACGGAUAAAAGGUACUCCGGGGAUAACAGGCUGAUACCGCCCAAGAGUUCAUAUCGACGGCGGUGUUUGGCACCUCGAUGUCGGCUCAUCACAUCCUGGGGCUGAAGUAGGUCCCAAGGGUAUGGCUGUUCGCCAUUUAAAGUGGUACGCGAGCUGGGUUUAGAACGUCGUGAGACAGUUCGGUCCCUAUCUGCCGUGGGCGCUGGAGAAUUGAGGGGGGCUGCUCCUAGUACGAGAGGACCGGAGUGGACGCAUCACUGGUGUUCGGGUUGUCAUGCCAAUGGCACUGCCCGGUAGCUAAAUGCGGAAGAGAUAAGUGCUGAAAGCAUCUAAGCACGAAACUUGCCCCGAGAUGAGUUCUCCCUGAGACUUUAAGUCUCCUGAAGGAACGUUAAAGACGAUGACGUUGAUAGGCCGGGUGUGUAAGCGCAGCGAUGCGUUGAGCUAACCGGUACUAAUGAACCGUGAGGCUUAACCUUACAACGCCGAAG